rnacentral:tRNA from 1 species
GGGAGUGAUUGUGUCCCGGUGGGCGCCCCAGUCUUCAAAAUUGGUGGCCGGCUGCGCAGAGCAGGCGGCGGUGGGUUCGACUCCCAUUCACUCCCGCC